AUUGAACGCUGGCGGCAGGCCUAACACAUGCAAGUCGAACGAGUGGCGGAAGGGUGAGUAAUGUCUGGGACACUGCCCGAUGGAGGGGGAUAACUACUGGAAACGGUAGCUAAUACCGCAUACCAUCGGCAGUGCCCAGAUGGGAUUAGAUAGUAGGUGGGGUAACGGCUCCCCUAGGCGACGAUCCCUAGCGGGUAUGAGAGGAGGACCAGCCACGCUGGAACUGAGAAACGGUCCAGACUCCUACGGGAGGCAGCAGUGGGGAAUAGUGCACAAUGGGCGCAAGCCUGAUGCAGCCAUGCCGCGUGUAUGAAGAAGGCCUUCGGGUUGUAAAGUACUUUCAGCGAGGAGGCGUUACUCGCAGAAGAAGCACCGGCUAACUCCGUGCCAGCAGCCGCGGUAAUAC
rnacentral:rRNA from 1 species